CAGUCGUACCUUCGGGUAAUCAGCCUUUCGAGUGCGAUUCUGCGGAGUGUGAGGAGCUAAACACCUUCAUGCCUGCAUGUUCGUGCUCUUGGGUGUACUUGCUCGUGUGGUUGGUUAACAUCAAUUUCGGACGCCAUAAAAUGGCUGGAGGAAUGUAGCUUCGAUCUCGUAUUGAAGUGUUAUAGUCCUUUGGCAGAUGCGCUGCGCGGGACUGAGGAUUGCAGCGGACACCCCGUCGGGGCGCGGCGACCG
rnacentral:rRNA from 1 species